GUCAGGCCGAUUGACACCUAGCGUAAGAAGUUACUGGCAGCACGGUACCUUGGCGAGCAAAGCGGAAGUAAAGAAACUGAAAUCGAUAUUUUCCUACUGGUAGCCAUUUUUAAAGUAAACGUGCAACCGUACAGAGCUAUAAUCAUACUUUAAUUAAGUUCGACCUGUAACCUUUUGUUCCGUUGUUCUAUAAUACUGAAAAAUGUAAGUUUGAAUUUCUUUGUUUUAAUCUAAAGCUAAUGUGACUAAAAUUCCAGCUUCAAGCUGCAUCGCAGUAAACAAAAAUAAAUGGCGAUCUGCUGAAAAGAUUCAGUGUUAGUUUUGUUAUUUCUCCCGGAACAAAACUUGAAGAUUUUUCAAUAUGCCCGCGGGAUCGAAGAAGGCUACCAAUGGACAGGCCAGCGAGGAGCAGAAUUGUGUGGCUUGUGAUCGACCGGACUCCUUCGAUGACUUGGUACAGUGUGAUGAAUGUAAUUCAUGGUGGCAUAUGCAAUGUGCCUCAGUUACGCCAUCCAUUUCCGAACGACCAUUUUCCUGCAACAACUGUCAAAAAUUCCAGUCAGCGGCCAGCGGUUCUCAUUCAACAUUUGCCAGUAGUCGGACCGCUAGAAUUGAGUUGCAGCUUAAACAGUUGGAAGAGCAGCGAGACAUCGAAAAACGCGAACUGGAAGCAGAAAAACGAUUUCUACGUGCAAAAUAUGAGCUACUGCAAUCGAAAUUGACCGAGGAAGACGACGACAGACGGAGUGACCGCAGCCGUUUGAGUCGGAAAACGAGUAUGCAACAAGUGAAACAGUGGCUAGCUAAUCCAGCGAAUCGAGCAGAAGGCGCCGAAGGUGAGCAUUCACGCGACCAGGCAGCGGCCUCGCCGAUGUUCCAAACAGUAGCUGCCCAUCAUCCAACACAUACACCGGUACGUUUUCAACAACCUGAGAGGACUUGGAAGCAGCAGCAAACCAGUCAUGUGAUUUCGAACACAGUUCCGACACAGCUGAAUCUACCUACUCAACUAGUCGUGUCACCAAGAAGCAAUGAUUUGGAAAAAGAUGAACCCAUUACUCUUCCACCAUCUCGGAUGGGUGGCGCAGUAAGUAACAGAGCAGCAUCUCCCUCCCCUGUUCAGCAAGGUAAGCCACUGUUUAAUCCAAUCAAAGCCAAUAUAUGCCAACCACAUUAUGAUCAGUCAUUCCAACAAAUGGUGACGCAAUUUGGAAAUGUCGGAUUUCAAAAUCCACGACAUAGUCCGCCAGUCGGCUUGAUUUCCCAAGAUCCUCCGAUGAGCGAAAAUUUAGUUCUCUCCCCCUCGCAGUUAGCCGCCAGGCAAGUUCUGCCCCGUGAUCUGCAACCCUUUCAUGGCGACCCUGCUGAGUGGCCGCUUUUUAUAAGUAGCUAUACUAACUCGACAAUUGCUUGUGGGUUCAACAAUGUCGAGAAUCUGGCCCGUUUACAACGCUGCUUAAAAGGAGCAGCUUAUGAAUCUGUUAAAAGUCGAUUACUUCUCCCAGAGUCAGUCCCUCAGGUGCUUCAAACUCUCCAACUGCUUUACGGCCGUCCAGAAUUAUUAAUUCACGUCCUUCUCGAUAAAGUUCGCUCUGUUCCUACUCCGAAACCAGAACGGUUAGACACCCUAAUUGAAUUUGGGCUGGCGGUCCAGAGUUUAUGCGACCAUCUCGUUGCAGCAAAACAAGAAGCGCAUUUGUCAAAUCCGUCCCUUCUCAUGGAGCUCGUUGAAAAACUUCCCGCCCACGUGAAACUGGAAUGGGCCGGAUUUAUGCAGCAGUGUCAAACAGUGAAUUUAAAAAUCUUCGGUGAGUUCAUGUCGAGUGUAGUGGUGUCUGCAAGUAAAGUGACCCUGUAUACCGGUGCAGUGAAGAACACCACGUUUGAUAAGUUAAAGCUGAAGUCUUCAAGAGGAUCACUCAACGCGCACAACAGUGAGAUGGUAUCAGAUCCGGAUCCGGAACGGGUAUGUCAUGUUUGCAAAGAACCUGGUCAUCGAGUCAGCGGAUGCGAAGUGUUUGGAUCUUUCUCCGUAGACGAACGCUGGAAGGCUGUACAAGCGAAUGGACUUUGCCGUAGUUGCUUAAAUGCUCACGGUCGAAGAAGCUGCCGGGGUGCAACUGUGUGUGGUAUAAACAAUUGUGAAUAUCGACAUCAUCGAAUGCUUCACGCGAAUAAAUUAUCACCCGCUGUUACUGAACCUGUCGUCGGCGAAAACCAUACCCACCUCCGAAUUAAACAACAACUGUUAUUCCGUAUUGUCCCAGUUACAUUAUAUGGUCCACGAGAAACAGUCGAGACGUAUGCAUUCCUCGACGAUGGGUCAUCCCUAACAUUGAUCGAAGAAAGUCUAGUGGAGCAACUUGGUGUGAGAGGUAGAAAUGAACCAUUGUGUCUCAGGUGGACAGGCAAUAUGUCCAGAGUGGAAUCUAACUCACAAGUCGUACAGCUGGAUAUCGCUGGUGUAGGAGGCAAAAGGUUUCAAGCUGAUGAAGUACAGACGGUCAAAGAGCUAGCACUUCCUCGACAAAGUAUCUCCUUUGAGAAGCUCGCGGAUCAGUUCCAGCACCUGAGAGGAAUUCCUGUUUGUAGUUACGAAAAUGCCGUACCUCGUUUAUUAGUGGGUGUUAAUAAUCUGCACUUGUCCAUUCCAUUGAAGACAAAGGAGGGAAAGAUCGGUGAACCCGUCGCAGUUAAAACCAGACUAGGCUGGUGUUUGUUCGGAGGAACAGGAGAUUCUAAAUCACCACAAUCACUGAAUGUGCAUUUGUGUGAUUGCCAAGAAAUGAAGACAGUGCACGAGACAGUGAAGAAUUAUUUCGCGUUAGAAGAAGUAGGAAUAACUCCCAUCAUAAAUGGAAUAGAAAGCCGUGAAGAAAAAAGAGCAAAGCAGAUUCUAAAAACGACAAUAAAACGUAUUGGUAAUAAAUUCGAAGUUGGAUUAUUGUGGAAGUUCGACCAUGCCGAAUAUCCAGAUACGUAUGGAAUGGCGUUGAGACGUCUUGAAUGUCUAGAGCGAAGGAUGUCUAAGGAUCCCCAGCUGCACGAGAACCUUCAUCGACAAAUAAGUGAAUAUCAAGCCAAAGGAUAUGCACAUCGUGCGAGUGAAAAGGAACUGAAAGAAAUGGACCCAAGGAAAGUAUGGUUUUUACCUCUGGGAAUUGUAGUCAACGCGCGGAAACCAGGUAAAAUCCGUAUCAUUUGGGAUGCGGCUGCAACUGUUGACGGCGUUUCCCUUAAUUCGUUUAUUCUGAAAGGACCCGAUCAAUUAACUGAACUACCUGCCGUAUUUGCUAGAUUUCGUCAAUUUUCCUUUGCUGUCGUAGCUGACUUGAAGGAAAUGUUUCACCAGAUCCUUUUACGGAGCAUCGAUAAACCUUCACACAGCUUUCUAUGGCGUUCGAAAUCUUCUGAUCCUCCUGAGGUAUACAUGAUGGACGUGAUUAUCUUCGGUUCGUCAUGCGCACCGGCUAUAGCGCAAUACGUUAAAAAUACGAAUGCCGAAACGUUUGCAGACCGAUACCCACGAGCAGUUACCAGUAUCAUCCAGAAUCAUUAUGUCGAUGAUUUCUUGGACAGUUUCGAGGACGAAAACGAAGCCGUAAAAGUAUCUGAGGAAGUGAAAAUGAUUCACGAACAAGGUGGAUUUGAAUUGCGAAAUUGGUUAUCAAAUAGCGAGGCCGUGUUGAGAAAAAUGGGAGAAGCGCAGGUUCACGGAGAAAAACUGUUGAUUGUUGAUAAAAAUGAUCAGUUUGAACGAGUGUUGGGUAUGUUAUGGUCCACGAGGUCUGACGUUAUUUGCUUUCCUGUAACAAUGAAAGAUGAGAUACAGCUAAUGCUGGACAGUGGAGAAAAACCGACAAAACGUAAGAUGUUGAAAUGUAUGAUGGCAUUCUUUGAUCCACUAGGACUAUUAAGCGUGUUUUCUAUUCACGGAAAAGUUCUGUUACAGGAUGCUUGGCGUGUUGGGUUGCAAUGGGAUGACGAAGUUUGCGAUAAGCUAGAAGAAGAAUGGCGUAUGUGGACAGACCUCUUUCCGUUUGUUAGAAAACUGACAAUACCGCGCUGCUAUUUUCCAAACGCAACGAUGAGAACAUAUCAGAAUCUUGAACUACACAUUUUCGUGGACGCAAGCGAAAAAGCAUACUCUGCUGUCGCAUAUUUUCGUGUGAUCGGUGCUGAGGGUGUUCCGGUUUGUGCCUUGGUCGCUGCGAAAGCAAAAGUUGCACCACUAAAACCGUUGUCGAUCCCUCGCAUGGAACUACAGGCAGCGGUUUUGGGAACCCGCCUUAAACGUUUCGUUGUGGACAGUCAUACUAUAAACAUCAAGCGAAGUGUCCUGUGGAGCGACUCAACUACAGUACUGGCGUGGAUUAGAGCAGACCAUCGUCGAUAUAAGCAGUAUGUUGCCUACAGGAUUGGCGAACUAUUAACAAGCUCUAAUACUGAAGACUGGCGAUGGGUACCGAGUGGAAUGAAUCCAGCUGAUGCAGCAACUAAAUGGGGAACAGGACCUCAUUUGAAAUUGAAAUCGGACAGUGAAUGGUUCGUUGGACCUGAUUUCUUGAGAAAGCCAGAGAGUGAAUGGCCUCAGCAACCUGGAGUAGUCCCUGUUACUUCGGAAGAGUUACGCCCCUGUUAUAUCCACCAUGGUUUCGUGAUUCCUAAGCCAGUUUUAGAAUUUGAUAGAUUCUCCAAAUGGAAGCGUAUGAUAAGAGCAUUGGGUUAUGUUCACCGAUUUAUCGAUAACCUGAAACGAAAGUGUAAAAAACAGAUCUUGCAGAAUGGCCAUCUGACGCAAUCAGAGUUGCAACGAGGCGAAUCAUCUUUAAUACGAAUGGUUCAAUGGACGGCGUAUCCAGAUGAAAUGGUCGUUUUACUCCAGAAUCAAUUACACCCUGAAAGAAAACCGGAAUCAAUACAGAAAGAUAGUAAGAUAUACAGACUCUCUCCGUUUCUAGAUGAAUGUGGUGUGCUUCGAAUCGAUGGAAGAAUAUCGGCUGCUCCUUCUGUACAGACGGAUGUCAAGUUCCCUGUGAUAAUGCCAAGAAAACAUCGGGCUACUCAGUUUUUAGUUGAAUCAUAUCAUGCUGCAUUUCGACACGGGAAUACCGAAACUGUGGUAAACGAAAUACGGCAACGUUACUACAUUUCGCAGUUGCGGACGGUUGCUAGAAGCGUUGCAAGGUUCUGCCAAUGGUGUAAAAUACAAAAAACCAAACCACAAAUCCCCAGGAUGGCACCACUGCCAUUGGCCCGCUUAUCGUCGUUCACAAGACCAUUCACAUAUGUGGGUCUUGAUUUCUUUGGACCAUUCCUGGUAAAAGUUGGAAGGAGUAAUGUCAAGCGUUGGAUUGCACUCUUCACAUGCCUCACCGUGCGUGCAGUGCAUGUGGAGGUUGCUUAUGAUUUAUCAACUGAGUCGUGCAUCAAGUGUGUGCGGCGAUUUAUCAGUCGUCGUGGUGCUCCCUGUGAAAUUUAUUCAGAUAAUGGGACCAAUUUUCAAGGAGCAGAACGAUUGCUUAGAGAUCAAAUGGAACGCGUGAAUGGAGAUCUGGCGGCGUGUUUCACAAGUGCAGCUACAAAGUGGCUGUUCAUUCCUCCCGGUACCCCACACAUGGGUGGUGCCUGGGAGAGAAUGGUGCGAGCAGUUAAAUCAGCGAUGGCUUCGGCGUAUACUGACCCUAAGUUGGACGAUGAAGGGCUUCAAACGAUGGUGGUUGAAGCCGAAUGGAUAGUAAACAGUAGACCCCUUACAUAUUUACCACUUGAUUCGGAAGAAAGUGAAGCGUUAACUCCCAAUCAUUUUUUGUUGGGUAGCUCUACCGGAAGCCGAAAUCCUGGAAGGAACCCAGCUGAAUUUGGCGGCGCACUGAAAGGUUCAUGGAAUGAGAUACAGCGGAAGCUAGAAUUAUUCUGGACACGGUGGUUGAAAGAAUAUCUGCCAACACUAACAAGACGUGAGAAGUGGUUCGAAGAAGUUAAGCCAAUAAAGGAAGGAGAUUUAGUUUUUGUUCUGGACGGCUCAACAAGAGGGCGCUGGGAAAGAGGGCGUAUACUGGAAGUAAUAAGAAGUGGGGACGGCCGUAUUAGACAAGCAUUGGUCCAAACUGCGAGGGGUUUGUUGAGAAGGUCGGUGUCUAAAUUGGCUGUUUUGGAUGUGGCUGAAGGAGGUAAAACUGGUCCAAUAGACAAGUGUUACGGGGGGGAUGAUGUCGGAAACUGGCAGCACGGAGCAGUCAGGCCGAUUGACACCUAGCGUAAGAAGUUACUGGCAGCACGGUACCUUGGCGAGCAAAGCGGAAGUAAAGAAACUGAAAUCGAUAUUUUCCUACUGGUAGCCAUUUUUAAAGUAAACGUGCAACCGUACAGAGCUAUAAUCAUACUUUAAUUAAGUUCGACCUGUAACCUUUUGUUCCGUUGUUCUAUAAUACUGAAAAAUCUUCAAGCUGCAUCGCAGUAAACAAAAAUAAAUGGCGAUCUGCUGAAAAGAUUCAGUGUUAGUUUUGUUAUUUC